ACCUACUGUUUAAUUUUGAGGGUUCGUUUUUACGAAUACUCAAAAUUAGCACUUUAAGCAACGGAAUUUAUUCGUUGGCGCUGCGCGUUAGCACUUUAAGCAACGGGAUUUAUCCGUUGGCGCUGUGCGUUAGCACUUUGAAAACUGCAUAUAUAUUUAGUGAUAUGACAUCUAAUUUGUAAUAUAUAAAGCUGAUAACUUUUAAAAUUAUCGAAGUUGAUAGCUUCUAAUCUAUCAAACCUUUUUAACUGGUCAA
rnacentral:misc_RNA from 1 species